GACGAACCGAGCGAACGUUGUUCGGAAUCACUGGGCUUAAAGGGCGCGUAGGCGGGUGCUCAAGUCCGUGGUGAAAUCCUCCGGCUCAACCGGAGAACUGCCUCGGAUACUGGGUGCUUCGAGGGUGGUAGGGGUAUGCGGAACUAUCGGUGGAGCGGUGAAAUGCGUUGAUAUCGAUAGGAACUCCGGUGGCGAAGGCGGCAUACUGGACCACCUCUGACGCUGAGGCGCGAAAGCCAGGGGAGCAAACGGG
rnacentral:rRNA from 1 species